rnacentral:rRNA from 1 species
GACGAACGCUGGCGGCGUGCUUAACACAUGCAAGUCGAACGGAAAGGCCCUGCUUGCAGGGUACUCGAGUGGCGAACGGGUGAGUAACACGUGGGUGAUCUGCCCUGCACUUCGGGAUAAGCUUGGGAAACUGGGUCUAAUACCGGAUAGGAACCAUCUUUAGUGUGGUGGUUGGAAAGUUUUUUCGGUGUAGGAUGAGCUCGCGGCCUAUCAGCUUGUUGGUGGGGUAAUGGCCUACCAAGGCGGCGACGGGUAGCCGGCCUGAGAGGGUGUACGGCCACAUUGGGACUGGGAUACGGCCCGGACUCCUACGGGGGGCAGCGGGGGGAAUAUUGCACAAUGGGCGCAAGCCUGAUGCAGCGACGCCGCGUGGGGGAUGAAGGCCUUCGGGUUGUAAACUCCUUUCGCUAGGGACGAAGCUUUGUUGUGACGGUACCUAGAUAAGAAGCACCGGCUAACUACGUG